UAAAGGACCACUUUUUAAUUCGAUGUAUAACAACCGCGGGGGUCUAAGAGAAAAUAACGGCGAAAGCUAUAGACACAAAUAACUAAAUUACCAAAACGUUAGUAUAUCUCCUAGGUUCAUUAAUAUGUAACAGACUCCCCAGUUAAUCUCCAAAAGCCAGUGUUCCCCCUCUAAAAUAGCACUCUGGGACGAAUUGUACAGCAGAUCAAUCACUGCUAAUGCAGUAAGGUUUACUGCAAGGAGGGGGGAAGCUAUUUACACCUUCAAAUAGAAGCUUUUGAGAUUUAAGAGUAAGGGUCAUACAUCACCAAGAAUAAAUGAUUAUGAAUUGGUAAACGCGCCCUGCAGCCAUUAGCUAUGCGACACGAUUUAUCAUUUCUCUGUGUUUUUCUUUUUAAAAUCAUCUGGCUAUUUGGAAAGAAAAGCAUGACACACACACACACACACACACACACAUACACACAUACACACAAACCCAACCCCAAAACACCGCGGGAAAGUUUGUUUUUGAAUAUACUAUAAGUCAUCAAAAAUGGUUCUUCAGAUAUAAACGGGGUCACUUAUGAAUUGCUUAACAGAAAACAAUGGAGCCCUUUCAUUGUACCCAUUAUUACUAACCGAUUGGUUUGCCCACUAGAGUUGACACAUCAGAAGCAUUUAUUUUUUAACCUUAAUUAUAAGUUACUAACUUGUGAAUUUCAUAAACAAUCAAUUAAGUCAUGACAAUGAUUUUUUUCUUCCUUGCUUCCUCUUUUCUUCUCUCAUCACUUUCAUAGGAAUUUAAAGUAAAUGUAACUUUUUGCCAUUUUUCAACUGUUGACAGCUGUUAACCUACACAUUCACAAAUGUGCCAUUGAAGGACUGCACCCAAAAAGACCUUUACGUGACACAUGGUAACACACGUUCUGUGUGUAAUACAAGAGACUACACAUUACAUAAGAAUUCCAUGACAGGAAAAGGUUUUGAAAAAAGCCCCAAAUCUGGAGCCAUAACAUUUGCUGGAAGAAAAUAUGAAUCUUUAAUCCUGACAUUUUGAUGUUUCUGUGUCUUUUGUCGUUUUUAACGAUAACAAGCAAAUAUCUAUUGUUUGCUAAACUGUAAAAUAACGAUGAUAUAAAUAUCACACAGAUAAUUUAACAGGCCAAAUCAGAAAAAAAUAUAAUACAUUCGCGACUAAUGAAUAUUACUGCAUUCUGACUGAAGGCCCAAUCCUACUCCUCUUGAAAUCAAUGGCAAAACUCCCAUUGACUUCAAUGGGGCAGGAUAAGCCUUUAGAUGCAAAGGGGGAGGAUGGGAUAGCGUGGAAAUAUAACUAAUAUUUUUCAUGAAUUAAUAGAAAAAGCGAGAUGGUGGUGGUAGGAUCAUCCAUCCAGUCCUUGCUCAAACACAAUUCCCAUUGAAGUUUCCACUUCUCAUUCCUAAUACACAUACACAGGUCCUGUCAACACGAGGGAAAAUUUUUACUGGGAAUAAUGCCCAAGUAAGGACGGCAGGGUCCACAUUCUUCCUCCUCCCCCAUUCAUUCAGUAGUAAUACAAUAAUGUUUACUGUCUCUCUCAGAGAGACAGAGGGAGUGAACUAACUGGGUCAAGUCCCGUUUCCUUUACUCACUUCAGUGGUCCCACUGAAGUCAUGCAGGGUAAGUUGUGGCCCACAAAAUGUGGGUUAUAUUAAAAAUUGAUUACAAAAGCCUCUCCUCUUAAAGAAAAUACCCAACCUGCCUGUAGUGUUCAGGAAAAAAAUGCUAUUAGCUGAUUUCAGUCAUCUGGAAAAGACGAAAUUGUUUCCUUGGAUAUAUAAUGCUGCACUUCCAGUUCGAAGUAGUAUCCAUUUCCUCUUUAUUACAUCAUUCUGCAUUUCAUUUCUAUGCUUUUAUAUUUUACUGCUGCUCCUUUCCCCUGUAAAAUAUUCUUUUCGAAAUAAUUUUUGCCUGUGCAAGCCACAGAAAGUCUCUGAAGAUCCAUAAUGCUAUUAUUUAUCUGACUUUUUGUGCCUCCAAGUGCUGUAUACA